rnacentral:rRNA from 1 species
AUGCAACUGGUUAGAUCUGGGAACACUGCGAUCAACAUUAAUGGUGAGGUGGGACCCUUUUUCCAGGCGUCCAGAGGAGUAAAGCAAGGGGACCCUGUUUCUCCCUUGCUUUUCAAUCUCGCAGUUGAUGCCCUUGCGGGCAUCUUAGAUAAGGCCAAGUUGGCCGGCCACCUUAAGCGUGUUGUUAGCCACCUCAUCCCGGAUGGGGGGGUUACUCACCUGCAGUAUGCGGACGACACCAUGAUUAUGGUGGAAGAUUAA